rnacentral:rRNA from 1 species
UACAUAGGUCUCAAGCGUUGUUCGGAUUCAUUGGGCGUAAAGGGUGCGUAGGCGGCGCGGUAAGUUGGGUGUGAAAUCUCGGAGCUUAACUCCGAAACUGCAUUCGAUACUGCCGUGCUUGAGGACUGGAGAGGAGACUGGAAUUUACGGUGUAGCGGUGAAAUGCGUAGAUAUCAGGAGGAACACCGGUGGCGAAGGCGGUUCUCUGGGCAUUACCUGACGCUGAGGAGCGAAAGCAUGGGGAGCAAACAGG